rnacentral:rRNA from 1 species
CCUACGGGAGGCAGCAGUGAGGAAUAUUGGUCAAUGGGCGUAAGCCUGAACCAGCCAAGUCGCGUGAGGGAUGAAGGUUCUAUGGAUCGUAAACCUCUUUUAUAAGGGAAUAAAGUGCGGGACGUGUCCUAUUUUGUAUGUACCUUAUGGAUAAGGAUCGGCUAACUACGUGCCAGCGGCCGCGGUAAUACGGAGUAUCCGAGCGUUAUCCGGCUGUAUUGGGUUUAAAGGGUGCGUAGGCGGCCGUUUAAGUCAGCGGUGGAAGUCUGUGGCUCAACCAUAGAAUUGCCGUUGAAACUGGGGGGCUUGAGUAUGUGUGAGGCAGGCGGAAUGCGUGGUGUAGCGGUGAAAUGCUUAGAUAUCACGCAGAACCCCGAUUGCGAAGGCAGCCUGCCAAGCCAUGACUGACGCUGAUGCACGAAAGCGUGGGGAUCAAACAGGAUUAGAUACCCUAGUAGUC